CAGAAACGGGGCUGGUGAAGGGUCUGGAGCGCAAGCCCAAACUCCCUGAAAGAAAGCUGCAGCCAGCGGAGGGGUUCAGCCUCUUGUUGCAGGCAGAAGUGGUUUCAACAGGAUGACAGAAUGUCUCAGAGCUGGCAGUGUCAACUUCCAGCCAAGGAGAGCAACCCUCAGUGGCAUUGCUGAGGCCCAGGAUACAACUCCUGUGUUUGGCAUGGGUCCAUAAGUGAUGGGAAUGGGCACAGGCAGCAGCAGCUGAAAGAUGGGCAAACACCUGAGACACAAUACAAGUGGAGUUUCUGCCUAAAGUCUCUUCCCAUGCAGCAGGAAACCAGCAUGGCCACGCAGACCUUUUAGGACUUUAGACUCUAAAGGCUCAGUUGACUUUAGGUGUUGCUGCAAGCAUCUGUUUAUGUGGGGACUCAGCCAGUCCCUCCUCCCCGUGGCCCCUUCACUCAGGAGGUUUAGCAUGGUCAGUGGGAUGGAGAUGGAGCAUCAGCCAAGCAGUGCUGCACACCCAGAGGCUGGGAGAGGAGGAGGUGGGAGAGUUUUCCCUUGGCAGCAGAACUGCCCUUUAAAAAGUGUCUCUUCAGAAUUUUCAUAACAUUUACACAGUCAUCAAUCACUGAGCAGCAGC